UACAGAGGUGGCAAGCGUUGUUCGGAUUCAUUGGGCGUAAAGGGUUCGUAGGCGGCUCGGAAAGUCGGAUGUGAAAGCCCACAGCUUAACUGUGGAACUGCAUUCGAAACUCCCGGGCUAGAGUAUGAGAGGGGUAAAGGGAAUUCCCGGUGUAAGGGUGAAAUCUGCAGAGAUCGGGAGGAACACCAGUCGCGAAGGCGCUUUACUGGCUCAUUACUGACGCUCAGGAACGAAAGCAAGGGUAGCAAACGGG
rnacentral:misc_RNA from 1 species